UACGAGGGGGGCGAGCGUUGUUCGGAAUUAUUGGGCGUAAAGGGUGCGUAGGCGGUUUGGUAAGUCUUAUGUGAAAUCUACAGGCUCAACUUGUAGUCUGCAUGAGAAACUGCCGGGCUUGAGUAUGGGAGAGGUGAGUGGAAUUCCUGGUGUAGCGGUGAAAUGCGUAGAUAUCAGGAGGAACACCUGUGGCGAAAGCGGCUCACUGGACCAUAACUGACGCUGAUGCACGAAAGCUAGGGGGAGCAAACAGG
rnacentral:rRNA from 1 species